UAAGUGUGCCCUCACAGCCGUCGUCCUCGUGGCCCUGGGGGCCAGGGAGGGUGGGCACAGGGUGCUGGGGCCAGGCGGGUCCCAAGGAAACUCAGGCUCAGAGGCUAGGAAAGUUGGGGCAGCCCCCGGGAGGGCGGCCCAGGGCUGGGGGGUUCUGGCUGCAGACGCAGUGGCCAUGUCUCUGUCGUCCUGGCCUCCUGGUCAGUAAGGGGGCAUUGGGAUUCCAGCCCACACCGCCAGGGUUCAGUCCCUGAGCUGGGCUCCAUGCUAGGGGGAGCAUGGGGGCCUGGAGAACGGCUCAGACCUCAGCAGUGGCUCCCAGGAACUGAAAGGGGAGAAAGGAAGAUCCCUGCCGAGGCCGAGGGGUGCGAGGACGUGGUUCUGGACAAGGGGUGGUCAGCCGCGGUGCCUGCUGGGCACAUGGGCCCUCGAGGUUUGUGCUCCUGCAGCUCCUCUCGUCUCUCCUUUCCCUCUUUAAGUAACAAGCCAAAUCCCAACCAAAUCAGCGUCAACAACGUCAAGGCCGGUGUGGUGAACGGCACGGGGGCGCCGGGCCAGAGCCCUGGGGCUGGCCGGGCCUGCGAGAGCUGUUACACCACACAGUCUUACCAGUGGUAUUCUUGGGGUCCCCCUAACAUGCAGUGUCGUCUCUGCGCAUCUUGUUGGACAUAUUGGAAGAAAUAUGGUGGCUUGAAAAUGCCAACCCGGUUAGAUGGAGAGAGGCCAGGACCAAACCGCAGUAACAUGAGUCCCCACGGCCUCCCAGCCCGGAGCAGCGGGAGCCCCAAGUUUGCCAUGAAGACCAGGCAGGCUUUCUAUCUGCACACGACGAAGCUGACGCGGAUCGCCCGGCGCCUGUGCCGUGAGAUCCUGCGCCCGUGGCACGCUGCGCGGCACCCCUACCUGCCCAUCAACAGCGCGGCCAUCAAGGCCGAGUGCACGGCGCGGCUGCCCGAAGCCUCCCAGAGCCCGCUGGUGCUGAAGCAGGCGGUACGCAAGCCGCUGGAAGCCGUGCUUCGGUAUCUUGAGACCCACCCCCGCCCCCCCAAGCCUGACCCCGUGAAAAGCGUGUCCAGCGUGCUCAGCAGCCUGACACCCGCCAAGGUGGCCCCCGUCAUCAACAACGGCUCCCCCACCAUCCUGGGCAAGCGCAGCUACGAGCAGCACAACGGGGUGGACGGCAACAUGAAGAAGCGCCUCUUGAUGCCCAGUAGGGGUAAGGCCUGGGGCCGCGGGCGGGCGCUGCGCCGGCCCCGCCCGUGAUGCCUGUGCUGUGCUGCUGUGUGUCCCCGCGGCGGGCGGCCCAGGGCCCAUGCUUGGGGCAGUCCACGUGAGCCAGGCCACAGCCCAGUUCCCUACAUUCCUCCUGACAUCACUGGUCCCUUGGUGAAGACCCCCCGAGCCCAGGCAUCUGGCCCUCGGCCCCGUGGCCCCGCGCCCUGUCAGUGGACUGUCCUGGCACGUGUGGCCCUGGCGCCCCUGCCUGCGCUGUCUGCCAUCGCGCUGUGACUGCCCGCAUGCUGCCAGCCUCAGCUCGUGGGGCCGCCCGUGCUGUGCCUGCAAUCCUUUCGUGCGCCUGCCAGGCGGGACAGUGGGGAGGGUGGUCGGGGGUGUUUGCGUGGGCCGUGGGCAACUGAGCUUGUACACACGGGCGCCUUCUGUCAGA
rnacentral:sRNA from 1 species